GAUGAGGAACGUAGCGAAAUGCGAUACUUGGUGUGAAUUGCAGAAUCCCGUGAACCAUCGAGUCUUUGAACGCAAGUUGCGCCCGAAGCCACUAGGCCGAGGGCACGCCUGCCUGGGCGUCACACGCCGUUGCCCCCCCAUCUACUCCUUCGGGAUUGCGGGGGGGCGGAUGAUGGCCUCCCGUGCGCCUAGCCGCGCGGUUGGCAUAAAUACCAAGUCCUCGGCGACGCACGCCACGACAAUCGGUGGUUGCGAAACCUCGGUUGCCCGUCGUGUGCGUUCGUCGCGCAUCGAGGGCUCGAAAAAAUGCUCGGCUCCGGCUGGGCUUUCAACGCGACCCCAGGUCAGGCGGGGUUACCCGCUGAAUUUAAGCAUAUCAAUAAGCGGAGGA
rnacentral:misc_RNA from 1 species